rnacentral:lncRNA from 1 species
GAGAUUGGUCCCACUGCCACAGAAAUACAAACAGUGCCUUGUUAUCCGGUUAUCAUGCAGCACAGAACAAAACCGUGCUAGCACUGAUAAGUGGGGACAUUUGUACCUAGGCCCAUCCCAGCCCGGACCGUGCACAUCCUGGAACCACUCACCUUCAGGGGACCCCAGGGAGCCGGAGCUCCCUUGUUUGGAUAGCCCUGGUUUCUUGGCACUAGAAGAGGUGGGAGACUUCUUGCCCAGGGGUUUAGUCUUGUGCUCCAUAGUUUUCUCCUCCUGCUUCCGAGACUUAUUUUGUGUUUUCUUCCUUUUCUUUUUUGGGGGUCCAGCAGCUUCUGAGCCUUUUGUUCUGACAGCUGAAACACAAAACAAGCUAAAUCCCUCCUGACCAAUCCC